AAAUAAAAGUGUCCAGGGGCGGGAAUCGAACCCACAACCUUCCGCUUACCGGGCAGAUGCCAUGUCCACUAGACAUUUAUUUAUCC